rnacentral:rRNA from 1 species
UACGUAGGGCGCAAGCGUUGUCCGGAAUUAUUGGGCGUAAAGAGCUCGUAGGCGGCCAGUUGCGUCUGCUGUGAAAUCCCGGGGCUCAACCCCGGGCGUGCAGUGGAUACGGGCUGGCUAGAGGCAGGCAGGGGAGAACGGAAUUCCCGGUGUAGCGGUGAAAUGCGCAGAUAUCGGGAGGAACACCGGUGGCGAAGGCGGGUCUCUGGGCCGAUACUGACGCUGAGGAGCGAAAGCGUGGGGAGCGAACAGG